rnacentral:rRNA from 1 species
AGCGAACGCUGGCGGCAUGCUUAACACAUGCAAGUCGCACGGGCAGCAAUGUCAGUGGCGGACGGGUGAGUUACGCGUAGGAACGUGUCCUGAGGUGGGGGACAACCCCGGGAAACUGGGGAUAAUACCGCAUAUGGGCUGAGGCCCAAAGCCGAGUGGCGCCAUUGGAGCGGGCUGCGUCCGAUUAGGUAGUUGGGGGGGUAAAGGCCUACCAAGCGUGCGAUCGGGAGCUGGUCUGAGAGGACGACCAGCCACACUGGGACUGAGACACGGCCCAGACUCCGACGGGAGGCAGCAGUGGGGAAUAUUGGACGAUGGGCGAAAGCCUGAUCCAGCAAUGCCGCGUGGGUGAAGAAGGUCGUCGGAACGUAAAGCCCUUUCGACGGGGACGAUGAUGACGGUACCCGGAGAAGAAGCCCCGGCUAACUUCGUG